rnacentral:rRNA from 1 species
UACGAAGGGGGGCUAGCGUUGCUCGGAAUCACUGGGCGUAAAGCGCACGUAGGCGGAUCUUUUAAGUCAGGGGUGAAAUCCCCGGGCUCAACCCGGGAACUGCGUCCGAGACUGGAAGGCUUGAAUCCGGGAGAGGGAUGUGGAAUUCCAGGUGUAGCGGUGAAAUGCGUAGAUAUCUGGAGGAACAUCGGUGGCGAAGGCGGCAUCCUGGACCGGUAUUGACGCUGAGGAGCGAAAAGCUAGGGGGAGCAAACGGGG